rnacentral:lncRNA from 1 species
AGAGUGCCCGGGACGAGCGCCUGCAGGAGGUUGUUCCCCAGGUAGAGCUCCUCCAGCCGCGAGAGCUUCUCGAAGGUCUUGGGGUGCAGAGCGCGGAUCUGGUUGUACUGCAGGUCCAGCCGUCUGAGCUGCCCCAGGCGGUGGAAGUCGAAGGCCGUGAUGUUGGUUAUGAAGUUGCCGCCGAGGCUGUAGGUGAGCACGUCCUGGGGGCUCGGCAGCGAGCUGGUCUUGGGCACUGCGCGGAGCCCCCUAUUGGUGCACAGGAGGUGCUGGGGGUGCUGGCAGUCGCACCGCUCUGGGCACACGGGCUGGGCCCGCGGCGGGAGCGCGAGGCAGCCGUACACCACAAGUAGGAAGCGCACGGCGCGGGCAGCCUCCAUCGCCGCCCGUCCUGCGUGCUGCGGCCGGAUCGUCCUCUUGGCCCGCCUGCUCUAUGUCUCCUCUGCAUUCCCCUUGGCCUGGCCAGAGUCGCUAAAUGGCCUCUUUCGGACUCCGCAGCGCGGUCCAGCCCCUCCUCCGCCCUUUGUCCGGUGGCUGGCCCGGGUCUCUGCAGGCGGGUUCCCCCAGCCAAGUCAGGCGGCGCGGGGCGCUCCGGGAGCUCCGGGUGCUACUUGUUGCAUUUCUGCACAAAACUGUUUCUCCGGGUGUGCGUCGGGGGGCGGAGGGAGGGAGGGAGUCAGACCUGAGCUUUUUGUUUGCAGCUGAGUCCGGAGAGUUGGAUUCCCUGGCACGGAUUCUCCCCGCCGAGCGGAUUCCCCAGCUGCAGGCGGGAGCCCUUCCAAGAGCUCCUCGGGGCGCGGCUUGGCUGCUGUGCCCCGGCGGCUCGGCCCCCGCAGCUCGCGCCUCCUGGCUCUCGGUCCCGGACCAGGAGCGCGGCCUCGGUGGAACAGCCGGGGGAGGAGCCGGGGGUGCGCAGGCUGCGUCCGGAAGGGACCCAAGUCGGCGAGUGGCGGGCAAACCGGGCGGAAAUUCGUUCUUCCCACACUCUGCCCCCCGGGGAUGCAGGCGGAGAAAGAGGAGACGGCGGAGGGGAGGACAGACCCCGACAGGGGGAGGAGGAAACGCUAAGUGGCUCCGCGUCUGGUCAGCCCAAGCCGGGGACGCCGAGUGAGAAAAGUAGGGAUUAAAAACAGCUGUACGGGUCGGCCCUGGACGCAGGGCUGGGGGCGGGGGGGGGUUACCGGGCCAACAAACGGAAUUUGCAGACAGAGACCUUUUUAUUUUAGAUGAGUACACCAGGCAUUUCGGAGCAUUGGGAGCACGGAUGCUCUUACUCGUUUUUAAGUCCCUUGCUCUUCCAGGUGCCACCCUGCGGGAAGUUCAGGCAGCACGGACUGCGCAAACAUUCUGUAAGACGUUUAGGGGAGCACCCCGUUGGCUACAAAGAGCUGUCGGUGGGCUAGAAGAGGCCAGGUCAGCCCCUUCUGAAUGUUGGGUGUUUGGAUUUUUGACGUGGCUGUCCAGGUAGCCCAGGAGAGGCAUCGCCUCCUUUAGGGAUCUGAACCGAGUAUUCGCUUGGCCCUGCUGUAGGUUAAGAGCCUGGAGAGUCUCAGAACUGGUUCUACCGCUGUGGAAGUGUUUCUGUCAGAUUUUGGUGAUUUAGUCCCAUUAAUCCUCCUCCAGUUGUACAGGCCUUGGGGUAGGCUCUGCACGUGUGCAUAUAUAUAUGUAUAAAACCUUCAUUGACCCUCUGGUAACUGCUGCCUGCGGG